rnacentral:lncRNA from 1 species
CAUGGAGGAGGAUGCCGAAACCUCCUUCUACCUCUGGAGUUUUUCAAGCCUUUAAUGUGGCAUGUAGGAAUAGCUCGUCUGGUGCAAGGAUGUUUGUUUAGGAGGGCAGGGGAACUAGAAUCAGAUGCUUGGUCGGAUGCUCCCAGCCUUAGGGCCUUUAUGUAGGAAGUGGGAUGAUGUUGCUUCCGGUGAUCCUGGGGCUAAAGUGAGCUCCUAAGUUUCAUGACAAAGGAGGACAGGGGAUUCUGAAAAAGCACGUGGGGGACCUUGGCGGAUUCCAUGGCAGGCGAGGUUGACCGAGGCAGGGAACAAACAUGCCAGACAGACAGCUUAAGUGAGAAGUUUUAUUAGAAAGGGGAGGGAGAGGGAAGGAAAGAGAAAAGAGGUAAAGAGACAGCGACACAGAGAGAGGACAGAAGAGAAGAGGGAGACAGGAAAAGUCCCGUCUGCUGCAGGGGAACAGCAGGAAAGAGAGCAUAAGUGGGCUGGACGGGAGGUCUUUCUUUUAAAGGAAUCCUUUGCACCUGCGUGCAGAUGCCUGCGUCCUUACACUGAUCAUCUCUACUUCUCUUCAGGGAACAUCAAAUCCCCUGGAGCAUAGUCACAAGCCACUUGUGAACCACUCAGUGCAGGUGCAGAGAUGUGAACUUGGGUCCUUUAAAGAGCUGCAAGCCCUCUUAAGGACUAAGCCAUGUCUCCAGCCCCCUACUUGGCUUCUCAGUGUAAGUUUAGACAGAAGAGGAUCGAAGGGGAUGUAGGAACACAGUGCAUCUCUUACCUCUGUCCACAAAUGCAGACACCAUGUCUUGCAUGUUCUGACAGGAGUAGUCUAAGGACAUAGAAUGCACCCAUACCUGCCCACACAAGAGUCAGACACCUACAAGAGCCAACUGCUCUCUGUCCUGAGAUUCCCUGAUCUGUCUUUCAUCCUGUAGAAGGUCUGGAUCCUUGCACCUUCCACAUCCUUCCCAGUCUGGUUACCUGCUGCUCACCUUGUGAGCCUCUGCCUUGCAGCAGACCUCAUGGAUAAGGGCAAUUUGAU